GGGGGUCAGGGGUGAGAGGUGAGCGGUCACACACCCAGCCUGAGGGCUCCCUGAACCCUGACCCCACAGGACUGAUGAAUAGUGUGCUAACGAGUCCCAGCUCUUUCUUACUGUGUCUGCACUCUCUCUUCUUGUCUUUGACUACUUCUAAUUUUCUUUUUUUUUUCCCCUCCCUUCUUCUUCCUUCCUGCAUUUUGCGGGGAUUAAUCUGCAGGCAGCAGAGCGGUGAUAUGUCUACCUGCUGAACCUUUGAAGCACCUCGCCAUCUGUCGUCUUCUUUGGAUUUAUAAGCAUCAUCAUAUCCCAUUCAAACCAGGCCCUGUUGCACCCUUACAUAACCUAACCCCUAUCUACCGGCACAUGCGAUUUCUCCAGGAUAGAUUGUGCAAAUGAUCAUCGGGUGAGGUGUUAAAUCCUUGCUUGCCAUUGGAUUGCUCUUUUUCUAAUGAGACUCUCCAAUCCUCAUCUCUGUGUGCACGCCAGCCACAAAUCUAAUUAAUAACAGACACAUGCGUGUUUGCAUGCAGACGCAGCCUGACACCUGCUACACGCAUGCACAAAUGGAUUCAGUGCAGAUGGGGACACUGUGCACACAAGCGCUGCAGACACACCCAGGGCCAUUUGCAGAGUCGAAUCAUAAAGCCAAUUAAAGAGAUGAGUCUUAUUAGCAGAGGUCUCCUGGCCCUAAUACAUCACAGGGGUUUCCUGGCAGGGGCCGGUGACAUGCAGGGCUCUUCGUCAUCUUUAUGAUGCCUGUCUCAUCACGCCCUUAUAAGACACUCAUCCAAACUUUACAGAGACUCAUCAUUUAGCUGGCCCAGAAAUCUGUUCGGUCGUCCGUAGGUCACCUUUAAAUGAGCUUCAAAGGACCGAGAAGCAGAAAUGUCGGGCUCGUGUGAAAGUGCUGUUACCAGAGGAGCAGCUUGCAUGUUUUUGGUCUCUCGUAAUUGAAAAAACUAUAAUCUUGUUCCCUUUCUCCUUCGGGGAAAAUCGUUAUUAAGCUCACUGCACAGCUCAGGCCCCAAUGGGAAGAACAGGAGCGGUUGCACAACAAUGAUGUGAGGGAGAAAAUGCCCUCCUUAGACCUCUGGACCACCUGCAGCUCUGCUGAUGACAGAUUCCCUCCACACUGUGGACCAUCAGUGCCAAAGGGAGACUAAUCCUCCUACUUCUAUCCUUUAAGUACAAUAGCCCUGUCACUCGUUUGCUCAUUCAGCAUACCUUCAGUCGCUCUGCCUGUGUGUCAAUACGAAGAAAACCGACAGGAGGCAGACAGUAGGUUCCCACAGCGCUCUAUUCAUAGCUUUCUACUGGAAUCUCUGACCUGUUCAGGCCUGCCUCGGGAAACCUGCCCCUCAUAAUGAAAGCCAUUGAUGCUUCUUCUCAUUACACAUUCACCUUGACAUCUCUGUUACAACCCACGGAGCGUCUCAGCUUAAUCCAGCAGAGCUAUCCACCUUUUACAUGACUAAUAAAUAAACGGUCGUGUGAGAAUGGAAUUUUUCAAAAUUGAAGUUAAUCGGUAGUUCUGCAAGAGAACAGGCUGGGACAUUUGAGGUGUACUGAAACAGCUCCUGGUAAAUCAUUUUCUCUGCUGUUACAAGUUAAGAUUACAACCAAUGGCCUCAUUAAUGAUUCAUCUGCGGCAUUAACCUUUUGUUGCUCUAUUUACUUGCAGACUUAAGAGGUUUCAUCCUCCCUGCACAAGAGAUAAUUAAAGAUUCAUGCGAUUAAACAAAAGGGUUGCAGUUACUGUAAUGCAAAUAUACAAAAAGGAGAGUGAAAUAUCAGGCAGAACUAAUAUGACGAGUUUUCCUGGUGCUUGUAAGCCUGUGUGAGUGUCAGCCCUCGGUGACCCCCUGUGGUUUAAACGCAGACUGAGCCAAUAAUGUCUGUGUAGACUUUUCACAAAUGAAAACAAGCCGUUUUUGUGGUCGGUAGAGGACAUUUCUAAACCUGAAUGUCUCCCAACCACUGCAUACUACUGAACUAUCUCCUUUUGGUAUCUGCAGAGUACAUUUAGAGAUUUUAAUGUUACAAAAUGGGAAGGGAUGGGGCUCAGGGACCUUUUGUUAUCGGUGAAUUAAAAGAUAUAUAUUUUUUCUCUUGUAGUCAAUUUAUGCUGCAGCCUUGACCCCGUCAGCACAGUUUAAGUAAUUCAACCCGAAGUUUAAAAGAGAGUUGCAAAAAUAUCUAUUUUUACAUUUUAUAAACUGGAAGUAACAAUACAGCAGUCUGUUUUGGUCCUUUUUCUGCAUGAGCACCAUUAACAGCAGGUCACAAAGAGGGCUUUCAGCUCCAAACACAAUUAAGUGGAGCACUUUUCCUGCACCUCAGUUACGUCAGGACCACACGAUGACAGAUGAGUCUCUUCAUGUCUUACAAGCUGGACAUGAAGGGAGGUCUGCCAGAACCUAUUCUGCACUGAUCUGAGCUCCUUUUUAUUUAUCACAUUCAAAACACAAGUCUGCUGCUUUCAUCCUUUUUUUUUUUAUGUGCUGCCUCGUGUGCUCACUUUUAUCACGUUACUGUGGCGCUCUGUUUCCACACAACAAAGCUUUACUCUUCCUAAAAGGUCCUUUGAUGUGAAAGAUUAAUGUAAAAAGGUAUUACACACUAAAUGUAUGCAAUGAAAGAAAGCUGAGAAACUGACAUCCAAGACCAAUUCUGCAGCUUUGGCUGCACUGCCCCCUUGUGUCAGUAAGAGGAAUUACAUGUGGAAUGUGUUAACGUUACGUGCGUCAUCAGUUUCUUCAGAGAUGAAUAGUCUCUUUAAAGCAACAUAGUUGCCAAAGCUCCAGAUAAAAACAAAAAAAGGAAAAAAAAAAAUUUUCUCGACUAAUUUACUGUUAGGACCUAUUAAUCAUAGGAUUUAUUGCUUCAGAUCUCUUGGGUUGAAAGUAACAAUGUACCACAGGUGAAAUGUGUUGAUUUUUAUUCAAAAGUUACUGUCUCCAGACAAGUACAAAUCAGAAAAACAGUGACUGAAAGAGGAUGGGAUAACAGACACCAACUUAAGUGUAGGCAAGAGUGCAAGGAAGGAAAAAAAAAUAAAAAUCAGAAAUGGCCAAAAAAUAAAAGGAAGAAAUUAAAUUUUGUAUAGAUAUAUACACACACACAUGAUCUAAUAGGAAUUUAUACCGAUGUAGUGGUAAGUAAACAAUAAACGGUACUUUUUUUUUUCCUUUUUUUUACUUACAUAAAAUAAUUAGGCAAAACACAUAUAGGCCGUUUAUUUACUAUGUCACAUUAUAUCUGACCUCCUCUUAUUUUAUGCUCUAAGAAGCCAAUUAUCCACCUCUGACAUGGAAGAUUGUGUGAAAAAGAUGAACUCCACAAGCAUGUUUAAGGCUUAAGCAUGGAAUGACUAGAAAAGAAAAAGAAAAACCUCAGUAGACAAAACAUUUGAAAAGAAAAAAAACAUGACAAUUCUGUCAAAACCUAAGCUUUGUCUAGCUGCCACAGAGCUGCUGAAUAACUUUCAUUUUUCAGUACUGUCUGAAUGACUACCAUACAUUUUUGAACAAUUGAAAUCAAUAAUUUGUGACAGGACUUUCCAUACGGAGAAAAAACCUUAAAGCUGAAUUUCACAAGUCUUUUCAUUAGUUUUAUCCAAACUAAUUUACAUGUAGGAAAAAAGGUUAAAAAGACAUUAUCAAGACAAAAAAAAA